rnacentral:lncRNA from 10 species
AAACAUCUUAGGACUUAGAUUACUAAGCUUAUGAAAGAUCAAAGACGAUCAAGAGCUAGAGGGCCACACAAGACCUGCUGUGGGGUGGUUCACAAAUGGCUGAAAAUGGACAGGCCAAGGAGGGCCCAUGCUGGCUGAUGGCAGAUAAUGGUGAAGGACAUGAAAAUAGUAGAAUUAUCUAAACACAAUAAAGGGGAGAAAGAGGAGGAGGUGCUAAAGGGUAGUCACUCACUGAGGACAAACUGUUGAGAGCAGGACCCAAACUGAGCAGUAUAAAGACAAGGGAAAGAGAAGGUAAAGAUAAAAGUGGAAGAAGUGCCUAGAGGUAAGAGAUCUCAGAGAACAAGCUGCUGUAUGUUUUGAAAACUGCAUGAAAACGAAAGGAGAAGGUGCUGUAAAGCCUAAAGUUGGAAAAGUUAGUAAAACUAUACUGAAC